ensembl:lncRNA
UCCGACUCGACUCAGCACAGCACAAAUAAACUAAAAACCAGAAAGCUAAUCCCCAGCUAAAGGAUCAGUUCGAAAUGUUGAACUAGAUGAGUCUCCACGAUCAACGAAGCAGAUAAAAGUAUACCACUCUGGAAGGCGCAAAGCAACAGGCAAACAUCAAGUAUUACAGCAAAGUCGCUGCUGCUCAGGAAUCCUAAGGCGUCCCUCCCCUGUCAAUCCCAAACAUCUGUAUCGGGACCCAAAAGAACGCGUCCACAGAUACCAGCCACAUAAGAAGCCGGUGUAAGAGAAAAGGCACUCUCAAGUUGCAACUCUGAUACAGCACCAGUGUGGCAUAGCACUUAAGGCAUGGGUUACCAAACUGCUGGGUUGAAAUCCAAGUCCUCCAAUUACUUGCUGUGUGACCUUGGGAGUGAAACAACAGCCAGGGCAUCUUGCUGCUUAGACUAUUUUGGGAAGAAAUGAAAACUGAAGCUAUGCUGAUUUUUAAUCUUUCAGGAGUGGACUUUUAUUCUACUUGUGUGUGUGCUACAUUGCUUCAUUCGUGUCUGACUCUUUACAACCCUAUGGACCAUAGCCCUCCAGGCUCCUCUGUCC